CCUACGGGGGGCUGCAGUGGGGAAUAUUGCGCAAUGGGGGGAACCCUGACGCAGCAACGCCGCGUGAAGGAUGAAGGCCUUCGGGUUGUAAACUUCUUUGAUUGGGGAAGAAAUUUGACGGUACCCAAAGAACAAGCCACGGCUAACUACGUGCCAGCAGCCGCGGUAAUACGUAGGUGGCGAGCGUUGUCCGGAAUUACUGGGCGUAAAGGGCGUGUAGGUGGCCUUUUAAGUCAGGCGUGAAAACCCACGGCUUAACCGUGGGCCUGCGCUUGAAACUGGGGGGCUUGAGGGCAGGAGAGGAAAGCGGAAUUCCCAGUGUAGCGGUGAAAUGCGUAGAUAUCACACAGAACACCAGAGGCGAAGGCGGAGUACUAGACCAUAGUUGACGCUGAGGCACGAAAGCGUGGGGAUCAAACAGGAUUAGAUACCCCAGUAGUC
rnacentral:rRNA from 1 species